AAUUAAGUUAACUUUCUUAUAGUUAAUAUUAAAUUAAAGAUUUAAUCUUAAGAUAUUAAUUAUCUUUAU
rnacentral:tRNA from 1 species